ensembl:lncRNA
AACAGCCAGAGGUGGAAGGGCUCAUAUAAAAAGAGAAAAGGUGAUAAUGGAAGUGUCUGCAUGUUCUACCAGCCAAAGAUAUAUCGCCAUUACAAAGGAAAAUCACUGAAUGAUGGAAGGUGAUGGAGGCCCAGCGUGGUGCCGAAUACAUACAGCAAUGGGUUGUGAAGUCACCAACUAAAGCAGUGGCAGCGGUCAGUGAUAGAAGACUGAUCUCACCGAUUCUCAUGUAUAUAUUUAGGCACCAGCAGAAACUUGCAUGGAUUUGUGCCUGGGCUGCAAUUGAGCACAGCUGCGAGACUUGGAACACUGAAAAACACCUUCAUUGGGUUGUUCUAUGUGGCUGCUGGUGGCAGUUCCUGGUGCCCAUCCCACAGCAUUUCCCUCACUCUGCCUGGCUCAAGCAGUCAUGGCCCCACAGCGUGCACCGGCAGCAGUGGAAUUUGUGACACCUCCUGCGGCUGUAGUGCCAGUGAAGGGAGCAGCUUCCCAACCUCAUCUCUCCCCAGCCCACCACACAGCCCAGGGCCAUGGAGGUGCCAUCAUACAUUUGCCAACAUAUAUCCCAUCUGUGGGCGCAGUUGGGAUGAUGUUACCUAUGUGACCCUGUCUCCACCACCUUUGCCAUGGC